CCUUUUCUGAGUUCCCUUAUCCAAUAUUAAUAACCCACGGCGUAGCUCUGUGUUGCUUUUCAGACCAGGAGUGAGCAGAGUGCGGUGAGCGCCGACAAUGGCUCUGGUUCGUCUUCCUUGUUCUUCCUCCUCCUUAUUCCUUCGUUCUAAUCAACAGAAUCUGGUGUUUAUCUCGCCUCUCUCAUGUCCGCAAAAUCCAUCUUAUUCCAACAAUGGCGAUAUCAAACUCUCUCUUUCGCGCUCUUCUUCCUCACUUUUUUCUACUCCCCUCGGCCACAAUCCUUUAACUUCUAUUAGGGCUAAGAGAACCAGAAAGUUUGUUUUCCAGUUGGCCUCAACCUCCCAAGACGAUGCGGUUGCGAGCUCUUCUUCUGAUGCUGAGGAAUUUUCUCGAAACAGAUUGCUUGCUCAGAACGUGCCUUGGAAUUCUACUCCUGAGGAUAUUCGUUCUUUGUUUGAGAAAUAUGGUACUGUCGUAGACGUGGAGCUUUCAAUGUAUAACAAGAUCAGAAAUAGGGGCUUGGCGUUUGUCACAAUGGGAUCACCUGAGGAGGCCCUUGCGGCAGUUAAUAAUCUCGAAUCGUAUGAAUUUGGGGGUCGUACUCUGAAGCUCAAUUAUGCUAAGGUUAAAAAGGAGAAACCCUCCCCUCCCGUGAAACCAAACCCCGUUACUUUUAAUUUGUUUGUUGCAAAUUUGCCAUUUGAUGCAAGAGCAAAGGACCUCAGGGAGUUCUUCGAUUCGGGGAGUGGGAAUGUAGUUUCUGCACAAAUUAUUUUUCACGAGAAUCCAAGAAGGUCUUCUGGAUAUGGUUUUGUUGCAUUCAAAACAAAGAAGGAUGCCGAAGCAGCUAUUUCCGAGUUUCAAGGGAAGAAUUUCAUGGGAAGAUCACUUCGUGUUGCACGUAGUAAACAGUUUGUGAAACUUCCCUCAGAAGAGAAAUCCCAAUCUGAAGAUACAUCAACUGAAGGUGUGGAGCUAGCCAGUGCUGCUGCUGAAGUUUAAAAUUCAGAAGCCUCACUGGAGGAACUAAGGAGUUUGCCAUCAACCUUUCUUUCUUUUUCUUGUUCUUCUUUUCAUGGAGGUGGCAUGCGGGUCGGGUUGGAGAUAUGGCGUGAGUUGCGUUCGACUGUGUUUUCAAGCCUGGUUAUAAUUUCUUUCUUUAUGUCUCUGUCAUUCUCUCAAAUACUCUUAGUUCCAAACCUUUAUAUGAUUCAUUCUGAGCUUUGGCGAAUACUUGCUUAGACAUGUUGUUUUCCUUUUCAUUUAGGUUGUCUUCAGUGUUCUAAUGAUGUUGGAUUUGCUUGUGUGAAAUAGUAUUAGCUCGGUUUUGGGACCAAGCCAAUAAGUUAGUAGCUAAACCACUGCCAGAAUCUUCCUACUCCACUGUCCUUACCUCUCAAGCUAUGGUUCUAGUUGGGUUCAUCAUCUUGAGCUAGCAAAAGUUUAUUGUCCUUUGAAUAGAUGUUUUUCCAUCUAGUUCAACACCGAGGUUAGAACAUUCUUGUCUCAACUUCUCAGUGAAAAGAAGACGAACGAUCGCCUAUGAAUUAGGUACCAAUCCGAUUCCAUAGAAUUUCAAGUAAAUAGCAUCAAAGGAAUACCAUUUCCGUUCCCGUUGAUUUCAUUUUGAUUUCGGGGGACAUCCGAUAAACUUUGAACGAUAUAGAGAAGAUUAGCAUGGCUCCUGUGCAAGGAUGACAUGCACAAAUCAAGAAAUGGUAUAGGGUAUUAGAGCUAAUCAUCAGGUGGUGUGCCAGUGAAGACGCUGGCCCCCAAGGGGAGUGGUUAGUUGGAGAGGGGAACGAAACAUUCCUUAUAAGUGUGUGGAAACCUCUCCCUAGUAGACGUGUUUUAAAAACUGAGGUUGACGACGGUACGUAACGGGCGAAAACGGACAAUAUCUGCUAGCGGUAGGCUUGGACGGUUGCAAAUGCUCAUUUCGAUUCAUUUUUCAUUUUGAUUUCGAGCGAUCGAUUGAUGCGUUGCCCAAAUCCGGCAUGGCAUUGUUCAGUUUUGCUAGGGGUUCCAACCUCCAACUCAGUGAGAAGGCAGGGAGUUGUGGAGAAUAACAGUGGUGGGGUGGUUGGCUUGUUUGUGUAGGGAAGGGGACCCAUGAAAGCCCCAACAACUCACGUGGAAUUAUGUCUACGGCAGUGCACAAAUUAGGGAUGGUAGAGCCAAACCACCACCCAGAUUUGUUGAUUUAGACAAAUAAUGCACACACACAGUUCAUCUUCCAUGUGAGUCCUUUUUUACUUUUUGACUCUUCCUGGUUUGGUGGAAUGUUAUAUCAUAACCAACCACAUUUCCAUUCAUGGACUAAGGUUUAAAGUUCAUCAAGAUAUCUAUCUUAUAAGGGUUCGAUUUGUCACAAUUUGGUUACAUUUAAUUUCUCUCUUCGCUGUUUGUAUCUUUGCAGAUAAGAAAACAAGCUAAAUCAGGAUUAGU